CAUCAGUUUUGCAUUGUUUAUAUCCAACAUUUGACUGUCCGUCUUAUUUGAAAAUUUUUUAUGAUUAGUUAUUUUUUGUUAUUAGAUGAUAAAAUAUGAAUAAUACUAGUAUUAUGUGUGACUAUUUUUUUAUUUUUUUCAUAAUUUUUUUAAACAAGACGGACAGUCUAAUAUUGGACACGGAAACCCAUAAGUGCACUUACA
rfam:Oryza nivara chromosome 3, whole genome shotgun sequence.